rnacentral:rRNA from 1 species
UACGAAGGGGGCUAGCGUUGCUCGGAAUCACUGGGCGUAAAGCGCACGUAGGCGGAUUGUUAAGUCAGGGGUGAAAUCCUGGAGCUCAACUCCAGAACUGCCUUUGAUACUGGCGAUCUCGAGUCCGGAAGAGGUGAGUGGAACUCCGAGUGUAGAGGUGAAAUUCGUAGAUAUUCGGAAGAACACCAGUGGCGAAGGCGGCUCACUGGUCCGGUACUGACGCUGAUGUGCGAAAGCGUGGGGAGCAAACAGG